rnacentral:rRNA from 1 species
GACGAACGCUGGCGGCGUGCUUAACACAUGCAAGUCGAGCGGUAAGGCCCUUUCGGGGGUACGACGAGCGGCGAACGGGUGAGUAACACGUGGGUGACCUGCCCUCAGCUCUGGGAUAAGCCUGGGAAACCGGGUCUAAUACCGGAUAUGACUCCAUGACGCAUGUUGUGGGGUGGAAAGCCUUGUGCGGCUGAGGAUGGGCCCGCGGCCUAUCAGCUUGUUGGUGGGGUGAUGGCCUACCAAGGCGACGACGGGUAGCCGGCCUGAGAGGGCGACCGGCCACACUGGGGACUGAGACACGGCCCAGACUCCUACGGGAGGCAGCAGUGGGGAAUCUUGCGCAAUGGGCGAAAGCCUGACGCAGCGACGCCGCGUGAGGGAUGACGGCCUGGUGU